rnacentral:rRNA from 1 species
UACGGGGGGGGUAAGCGUUGUUCGGAAUUACUGGGCGUAAAGGGUUCGUAGGCGGCCAAUUAAGUCAGACGUGAAAUCCCUCAGCUUAACUGGGGAACUGCGUCUGAUACUGGAUGGCUUGGAUUCGGGAGAGGAAUGCGGAAUUCCAGGUGUAGCGGUGAAAUGCGUAGAUAUCUGGAGGAACACCGGUGGCGAAGGCGGCAUUCUGGACCGAUAUUGACGCUGAGGAGCGAAAGCCAGGGGAACAAACGGG